rnacentral:rRNA from 1 species
CUACGGGGUGCUCCAGUAGGGAAUAUUGGACAAUGGGGGAAACCCUGAUCCAGCCAUGCCGCGUGAGUGAAGAAUGCCUUAGGGUAGUAAAACUCUUUCAGUAGUGAGGAACAUGACGUUAACUACAGAAGAAGCUCCGGCCAACUUCGUGCCAGCAGCCGCGGUAAUACGAAGGGAGCAAGCAUUGUUCGGAAUUACUGGGCGUAAAGGGCGCGUAGGCGGAUAAGCAAGUCAGAGGUGAAAGCCCAGGGCUCAACCUUGGAAUAGCCUUUGAAACUGCUUAACUAGAAUCUCGGAGGGGACAGUGGAAUUUCCAGUGUAGAGGUGGAAUUCGUAGAUAUUGGAAGGAACACCAGAGGCGAAGGCGGCUGUCUGGACGAGAAUUGACGCUGAGGCGCGAAAGUGUGGGGAGCGAAAAGGAUUAGAUACCCUCGUAGUC